CUACCAAGUGCUGCGGGCUUUGCUGCCAUCUCUUACCCAUGUCUUUUGAGUACCUUCGUUUCCUCGGCGGGUUCGCCCGCCGGUUGGACAACACUUAAACCCUUUGUAAUUGAAAUCAGCGUCUGAAAAACUUUAAUAGUUACAACUUUCAACAACGGAUCUCUUGGUUCUGGCAUCGAUGAAGAACGCAGCGAAAUGCGAUAAGUAGUGUGAAUUGCAGAAUUCAGUGAAUCAUCGAAUCUUUGAACGCACAUUGCGCCCCUUGGUAUUCCAUGGGGCAUGCCUGUUCGAGCGUCAUUUGUACCUUCAAGCUCUGCUUGGUGUUGGGUGUUUGUCUCGCCUUUUGCGCGCAGACUCGCCUCAAAACGAUUGGCAGCCGGCGUAUUGAUUUCGGAGCGCAGUACAUCUCGCGCUUUGCACUCACAACGACGACGUCCAAAAAGUACAUUUUUACACUCUUGACCUCGGAUCAGGUAGGGAUACCCGCUGAACUUAAGCAUAUCAAUAAGGCGGAGGAA
rnacentral:rRNA from 1 species